AUAAUGAUACUUCCGCUCAGCCACAACUCAUCGUAAUGGGAGCGGCCCGGCGAGAUCCGCGGGGAGGUAAAGAGCCUAUGG
rfam:Butyrivibrio proteoclasticus strain P18 genome assembly, contig: Ga0066879_103